GCUCCCAUCUUCAGUUACGACGGUCCAGUUAUCAUCCCACAUGACAGGAUUUUUGCUACCAAUGGUUAGCAUCGGCUCUGCACGAGAAUUAAAUAAUGCGCACAAAAGAAAUCAGCAAUGGCGCAAGAUGAUGAAGGUGAUGAACAUCAAUGAGAUGACAGCUGCCAUAUAAGAAUUAGCAUUAGUUCCCCCCUCAACAAAGCUUUUGAAGUUGCCAAAAAGUGACCCAAGUGGUAAGCCCAUGAUCCGCAGGGGCACGCCCUCUUAUACAAGAUUGUUCAAAGGUUGAGUUUAAAGCUGGAAGAAUAAAGAUGAAUUGACUAUGAUUUUGCUGGGAUGAAAAAUAUUUACGAAGUGCCAAGGAGCUCAAGGUGAUGAUAGCAUGGCAAGGAACAGGUUGGCAGUUCCAAAUUCAGAAAUAUUAUCCAGCAGCAUUCACUUCUUACUGGUCACGAGAACAUGGUUGGCUUGAAGAUUCCUGGUUAGCGCCUCUUUUCAUAGCGUGACAGCGCCUUUAGCUUAAAGAUGAUGGAGACGUGCAUUAAUGUUUUGUGUAUUAAAAAGUCGGCUAAUGGAAUUUAAGAUUAGGAUUCAGCUGAAUCUUUAAUGAUUUGCUGAACCUAGACGGAGGGGACAAAGUAGGACUACCAGAGAGCUCUUUUUGCUUCUCUUGAAAGUCCUUACUAUAAGCUUGUUAUGGGUAGAUCGUAGAUGUAGCCUUAAAUACCCCUUUUUGUGAGGUCCUUUAAAAUGGUCAUGAUCCUAAUUUUUCAA